rnacentral:rRNA from 1 species
GACAGAGGUGCCGAGCGUUAGGCGGAAUCACUGGGCUUAAAGCGUGUGUAGGCGGCCCGUUAAGUGUCCGAGUGAAAUCCCACGGCUCACCCGUGGAACUGCUGGGCAUACUGGCGGUCUUGGGCCAACUAGGGGCAACUGGAACAAGCGGUGGAGCGGUGAAAUGCGUAGAUAUCGCUUGGAACGCCAGAGGUGAAAACAGGUUGCUGGGGUUGUGCCGACGCUGAGACACGAAAGCCAGGGGAGCAAACGGG